CUCGCGUGCAAAACCGGUCGGUCAUUACAUCCGUAAAUAUACGAGGCGACGCACACGUCAAUUAGAUUGGCCGGUUGCGCAACCCGCUCGUGCGCGCGCCACUGCCACCCACUUCGUUUAUACUGACGCACACGAUAACAUGUGGGUAACUUGGUACCCAGUUUAUUUCAAUUCAUCAACACGUGGUGUCUUCCUCCAUCAUUCUUCUGGGAACAACUGAUAUAUAUUUUUUUUUAAUUUUUUCACUUGAUUACUUUAAUCAUUGAAUUAAUUUCAAACAAACUUUUUAAUUGUCCUCGUACGGAGAGUAAUGUUGAGAAAAACAAAAAUUCUAGUGCACCAGAAAUCAGCCAAAAGUACGUUAAACUGACAUUUUUAAAAACAUUCUAAAUCAGUGCAGAAAUUUGUCUGGUGUUUCAUCAAUUUAUAUAAACAAAACAAUAAAAAAAUUGUCAGUGUUACAGUUGCACCGUAAUUUUAACCCAAUACUGCAAUGUGUUUGGCAAAAAUUCUCUGACGUGUACGGUAAAGUGAAGAAAAAAAAAUAUAUAUUCUUUUCCAAAAUAACAAUAGGCAGUGACCCGGAUAUCCUGUGUUACCCCGAGGAAUGGCAAAUCCCCUUGGUUUGACCUCGGAAGCCCCAGGAGGCGGUGAACCGGUUUUUCUUCGAUCUUCCACUCAAAUCGAUUCUCCGAAGUGAUGCCGGAACUGAAAACCAGCGCAGGGCACGAGAACGGAAGAUCCACCCUUCUUUUUUUUUUUUUUUUAUUUAUCUCCCUGUCGAAUGAUCGCUGAACUUAUUCUCCUCGUGAGAACAACAACGAGUCACGACUGUGAAAGAAGAGAGAAGGGCAGGGGAAGAAUGAAAAUGAGAAAGUAAAGGAAAAAAUGAGGAUGAGAGAGGAUGGGAGAGGGAAGAAAAAAUGAGAGUCGACUCUCGAGCGUUCUUGAACUCAGCUGAGAUUCGAUUUUGCUUGAGGAUUGAUGAAUGGGCGGAGAGUGGUUCCCUUUGGCGGAAAGUGGGCAGCUACGGCCUUGCCUCGAGUUUCACUCAGUCUCUCUAUCUCACUUUUUCUUCUUUUUUCUUUAUUUUUUUUUUUUCUGCAACCGUGUUUCCCUUUAUCUUCCACCUCUCCUCGAGGACAUUCACGAAGAAAUCCAUGGUUAUUAGCAUUAAAGAGCGGACUGAGGACACGGUUUACUCCUCCCUCUUCGUGUCGGCACCUACAGAGAGGGGGAGAGAAUCGAGAGGGAGAUGGUUUUCACAAAGGACGCGGCCUUCGUCCACAAGACUGGAACGAUGGCUACCUAGGAAGUAUGCUGGUGAUCCAUGGACGCUUCAAAGCAGAAUCUAAAGAUACACGGUUGGCAGUUGGUAAAAUUAGUUAACCGAAAUGGUGAGUGAGAGAGUCGAAAGUAGAAGUAGAGGGACACCGUGAUCAUCGUACGCGGAAGAAAGUGCGUACACGUUACGAAUUAUGCGCGUUAGUUGAAGUGUCGUUGACCUCAUCCCAGUUAAAAUAUGUGUUUCAUCGAAUAUUACAAUAUUGUUCAUUUUAAUAGACGUACGACUAUGAAAAAUCAAUCAGUGGAUGAAUAACUCCAUUACUGCUCAACAAAUAAUAACGAAAGACCGAAAAAAAUAACAGAAAUAACGAUAAUGGAAUAACAGAGUGAAAGAAAUAUAAAGAGUUAUAAGUUGAUGUUGUUCGGGAUGAGAAGAGCCAGUUGCCCAUGUUGAUUUUUUUCUGGAGUAAUCAGCAAAUCGGCGAGUCUGGCAGCUGGUUACACCGGGAGGAGGUGGAGGAAUAGGCUGGUGAUGAGGAAGACUGGGAGAGGUGUUGGAAAGACGUCGAUAUAACAACUCGAUUACAUCAGGAGAGAAGUGUCACUUUGCCAGAGGCAACUGCAAAGUGAAUUUUGUUAUAGGCCUCUGGUCUUCUCAAGAAAAGAGCAAGGGAGUAGUGGCAUUUGUCCAUUUUCCUUUUGAUAACUGUACCCCACUUGAGAUACUUGUGAAACAAUUGGAGAAAUUAUUUUUGUUGAGGUUUAAAUUACAAUCGUCCGCAAGAUCCAGACGAGAUCUGAUUUUGAGGACAUUAUCUUGUUGAAAAAGAAAAAAAAAACAAAUUUUUGGGACUGACUCAGACCGAGAGGAGAUAAUGUAUUAGAAUUAGUCUCUGCUAUUAAAUUAAAAGGAAAAAUGAGAGCACGAGAUGAUAUUUCCAACGGGAAGUCUUGCAUGUGUCUCAUGGCCAGGCCCUAUUUUAAAUAGCCGAUAAAUUACUGCAAUGAUUCCACGAAAAUUCAGGAUAAAUAUCUCCCAAAGUACUUAAAUGUCACAUUCAAUAAAAUCAUGAACCUCUACCGUAAAAUUAUUUACCAUUUUAUUUUUAUGCUUCAUUCAUCUUCGUGAAAAUCAGAGCAAAAUAAAUGAAGGACUGAUGGUAGUGACAGUAAUUAUAGAACACCAAGCGAUAAUCACUGACAACUGACAUUCAGAAGCCCGAGAAGACUAGAAAUGCAGUGAGAAAUUACAGC